rnacentral:tRNA from 1 species
ACUUAAGUAGUUUAUGUAAAAUUUAGAUUUGUGGGUUCUAAGAAAAUUAAUAUUCUUAAGUU